rnacentral:sRNA from 1 species
UUGUAAUCGGUGGUGCAUUAUUCUAGUAAUACACACUAAUACGAGGGUGGGGCUAAAAAUCCACUAAAGGGCACAUCGUUGAAGUUUCUUGUUUAUGCGCGAAAUGCCAGUUUUGUGUGUUUUCAGGAAGUAAGAUUUUAGGGAAAUAUGUAAUGGCAUACAUAAUUGCUCCCUAUCAUCGCGGAGACUUAAAAUAAAAUUUUAAGUGUAACCUAUGUAGAGUGCCAAGACACAACACAUAGUGUAGCCUGUCUUGAGUGAUAGUAUUGGGAUUAUAUGAAUCGUUAUAUGAAAUUGCUAUUGCAAAAAAGACUAGUAUUAGUUUUAUGUAUUUCAAGGAAAACUUCUAGGCUGUUUGUUUCAACCAUAGAAACAUGAAGUUAUAAGGAUUAAGGUACGGAUUUAAGUGGCGAUCUGGCUUUCUAUACAGGAUAGAAUGUCUACUUUAAAAGGAAACUGCUAAUUAGUAAUGAUUAGUAGUAGAUAGAGAAAUUCUGCUAGACCUAAAACCGUAAAAUUUACUUGUAAUUUUACCAUCUAUAAACAC